rnacentral:lncRNA from 1 species
UCCGCGUACUCUGAUGUUUUGUAAGUGUUAAUAUAAAUAUGUUUUCCGCUAUAAAUAACAUUGUUUCUGAUAUUUCUAUUCUUUGUUGUAUGUGUGGACUUCCUGGGCACACAUAUGACGACUCUGGUCUUAUUUUAAAAGCCAGGGUGUGACAAGUAUCACUUCAUAAGGGAAUGCAUAGAAAGAGGGGGGAUCAAUGUGAAGAGAGUGGGAACCAAUGAACAAAAAGCUGAUUCACUGACAAAAGCACUACCAUUGGGUAAGUUGGUGGUGAUGAGGCACCUACUCGGUGUGAGGGACUUGAGCCUCUGUCAGGCUUAGGGGGGAGCAUGUUGGCGUUAAGCCUGUCAGAGGAGUUGCUGAAGACAGUGCUCAGGACAGGAGAGAGUCUGGAAGCGGGAAAGUUUCGGUUUGAAACUUGGACGCGCAUGAGCUGGUCAAGCAGCGUGGUGACCGCGCCCACGAACUCGGUAGUUCUGCAGUGUGUGUUUUCAGUGACUUGUAUCCAUAUUUUAUUUAGGUGUCUUUCUGUAAAAGUGUCAUUUAGCUCCAGGUAUUAGGAGCAGGGACUUUGGCGUGUGUUAUCUAUCACUUGUAAGCCGGUUAGGCAUUGUGUACUGUGAUCCACAAAAAGCGAAAAGGGGCGCUGUCACCCUGUCGCCAUUGUGGCGGUUGCCCAGUUC